rnacentral:rRNA from 1 species
AUUGAACGCUGGCGGCAGGCUUAACACAUGCAAGUCGAGCGGGGGAAGGUAGCUUGCUACUGGACCUAGCGGCGGACGGGUGAGUAAUGCUUAGGAAUCUGCCUAUUAGUGGGGGACAACAUCGCGAAAGGGAUGCUAAUACCGCAUACGUCCUACGGGAGAAAGCAGGGGAUCUUCGGACCUUGCGCUAAUAGAUGAGCCUAAGUCGGAUUAGCUAGUUGGUGGGGUAAAGGCCUACCAAGGCGACGAUCUGUAGCGGGUCUGAGAGGAUGAUCCGCCACACUGGGAAGGAGACACGGCCCAGACUCCGACGGGAGGCAGCAGUGGGGAAUAUUGGACAAUGGGGGGAACCCUGAUCCAGCCAUGCCGCGUGUGUGAAGAAGGCCUUAUGGUUGUAAAGCACUUUAAGCGAGGAGGAGGCUACUCUAGUUAAUACCUAGGGAUAGUGGACGUUACUCGCAGAAUAAGCACCGGCUAACUCUGUGCCAGCCGCCGCCGUAA